rnacentral:rRNA from 1 species
AGAGUUUGAUCAUGGCUCAGGACGAACGCUGGCGGCGUGCCUAAUACAUGCAAGUCGAGCGGACCAAUUAGAAAGCUUGCUUUUUGAUUGGUUAGCGGCGGACGGGUGAGUAACACGUGGGUAACCUGCCCUAUAGACCGGGAUAACUCGCGGAAACGCGUGCUAAUACCGGAUAACACACCGAAGCGCAUGCUUCGGGGUUGAAAGAUGGUUCCGCUAUCACUAUAGGAUGGGCCCGCGGCGCAUUAGCUGGUUGGUGGGGUAACGGCCUACCAAGGCGACGAUGCGUAGCCGACCUGAGAGGGUGAUCGGCCACACUGGGACUGAGACACGGCCCAGACUCCUACGGGAGGCAGCAGUAGGGAAUCUUCCACAAUGGGCGAAAGCCUGAUGGAGCAACGCCGCGUGAGCGAAGAAGGUCUUCGGAUCGUAAAGCUCUGUUGUAAGGGAAGAACAAGCGCAGCAGUCACUGGCUGCGCCCUGACGGUACCUUACUAGAAAGCCACGGCUAACUACGUGCCAGCAGCCGCGGUAAUACGUAGGUGGCAAGCGUUGUCCGGAAUUAUUGGGCGUAAAGCGCGCGCAGGCGGUCUCUUAAGUCUGAUGUGAAAGCCCCCGGCUCAACCGGGGAGGGUCAUUGGAAACUGGGAGACUUGAGUGCAGGAGAGGGAAGUGGAAUUCCAUGUGUAGCGGUGAAAUGCGUAGAGAUAUGGAGGAACACCAGUGGCGAAGGCGGCUUCCUGGCCUGUAACUGACGCUGAGGCGCGAAAGCGUGGGGAGCAAACAGGAUUAGAUACCCUGGUAGUCCACGCCGUAAACGAUGAGUGCUAGGUGUUAGGGGGUUUCCGCCCCUUAGUGCUGCAGCUAACGCAUUAAGCACUCCGCCU